rnacentral:rRNA from 1 species
AACGAACGCUGGCGGCGCGCUUAACACAUGCAAGUCGAACGAGAAGGCGUAGCAAUACGCUUGUAAAGUGGCGAACGGGUGAGGAAUACAUGGGUAACCUACCCUCGAGUGGGGGAUAACCCGCCGAAAGGCGGGCUAAUACCGCGUACGCUUCCGAUCUUGCGGGAUCGGAAGGAAAGCUGUCCCAAGGGGAUGGCGCUCAAGGAUGGGCUCAUGUCCUAUCAGCUUGUUGGUAGGGUAACGGCCACCAAGGCAUCGACGGGUAGCUGGUCUGAGAGGACGAUCAGCCACACUGGCACUGCGACACGGGCCAGACUCCUACGGGAGGCAGCAGUAAGGAAUAUUGCGCAAUAGGCGAAAGCCUGACGCAGCGACACCGCGUGGGGGAUGAAGGCCUUUCAGGUCGUAAACCCCUUUCGGCAGGGACGAAGCGAUCACUCGUGACGGUACCUGCAGAAGAAGCCUCGGCUAACUACGU